rnacentral:rRNA from 1 species
GGCCUAACACAUGCAAGUCGAGCGGAAACGAGUUAUCUGAACCUUCGGGGGACGAUAACGGCGUCGAGCGGCGGACGGGUGAGUAAUGCCUAGGAAAUUGCCCUGAUGUGGGGGAUAACCAUUGGAAACGAUGGCUAAUACCGCAUAAUACCUUCGGGUCAAAGAGGGGGACCUUCGGGCCUCUCGCGUCAGGAUAUGCCUAGGUGGGAUUAGCUAGUUGGUGAGGUAAUGGCUCACCAAGGCGACGAUCCCUAGCUGGUCUGAGAGGAUGAUCAGCCACACUGGAACUGAGACACGGUCCAGACUCCUACGGGAGGCAGCAGUGGGGAAUAUUGCACAAUGGGCGCAAGCCUGAUGCAGCCAUGCCGCGUGUGUGAAGAAGGCCUUCGGGUUGUAAAGCACUUUCAGUCGUGAGGAAGGUAGUGUAGUUAAUAGCUGCAUUAUUUGACGUUAGCGACAGAAGAAGCACCGGCUAACUCCGUGCCAGCAGCCGCGGUAAUACGGAGGGUGCGAGCGUUAAUCGGAAUUACUGGGCGUAAAGCGCAUGCAGGUGGUUUGUUAAGUCAGAUGUGAAAGCCCGGGGCUCAACCUCGGAAUAGCAUUUGAAACUGGCAGACUAGAGUACUGUAGAGGGGGGUAGAAUUUCAGGUGUAGCGGUGAAAUGCGUAGAGAUCUGAAGGAAUACCGGUGGCGAAGGCGGCCCCCUGGACAGAUACUGACACUCAGAUGCGAAAGCGUGGGGAGCAAACAGGAUUAGAUACCCUGGUAGUCCACGCCGUAAACGAUGUCUACUUGGAGGUUGUGGCCUUGAGCCGUGGCUUUCGGAGCUAACGCGUUAAGUAGACCGCCUGGGGAGUACGGUCGCAAGAUUAAAACUCAAAUGAAUUGACGGGGGCCCGCACAAGCGGUGGAGCAUGUGGAUUUAAUUCGAUGCAACGCGAAGAA